GAUGAACGCUAGCGGCAGGCUUAAUACAUGCAAGUCGUGGGGCAGCAUGAAGUAGCAAUACUUUGAUGGCGACCGGCAAACGGGUGCGGAACACGUACACAACCUUCCUUUUAGUGGGGAAUAGCCCAGAGAAAUUUGGAUUAAUACCCCGUAACAUAGCGAUGUGGCAUCACAUUGCUAUUAUAGCUUCCGCGCUAGGUGAUGGGUGUGCGUAUGAUUAGAUAGUUGGCGAGGUAACGGCUCACCAAGUCUACGAUCAUUAGCUGAUGUGAGAGCAUGAUCAGCCACACGGGCACUGAGACACGGGCCCGACUCCUACGGGAGGCAGCAGUAAGGAAUAUUGGUCAAUGGACGAAAGUCUGAACCAGCCAUGCCGCGUGAAGGAUUAAGGUCCUCUGGAUUGUAAACUUCUUUUAUAUGGGACGAAAAAAGGUCUUUCUAGAUCGCUUGACGGUACCAUAUGAAUAAGCACCGGCUAACUCCGUGCCAGCCGCCGCAGUAAGAC
rnacentral:rRNA from 1 species